GCUGGAGAUAAGUAAGGUAAAGAAGACAGAUAUGAGUCCUAUCCUUGUAGGACUGAUGCCUAUAAACACUGACUUUUGCCAAAAUGUUAUAUAAACACAUAAAUACAAAGUGUUAAGAGAUAAGGCCCCGAAAGAACUGAACACAUUUGGUUAUCUAUUAAUCCAUUGAUGGAUUUGGGGAUUGUGUCCACCUUUUGGCUAUUGUGAAUAUAGAUGUUAUACACAUUUGUAUAUGAGUUUUUGUUUGAACAUGUUUUGAAUCCUUUUGGGGAUAUAUCUUGCAGUCAAAUUGCUGAGUGAUAGGUAAUUCUAGGUUUCACUUUUUGAGGAGCGGACAAACUGUUUCUCGGUAUCUAAACUAUUUUAUAUUCACACCAGCAAUAUGCAAGGGUUCUAAUGUUGAAGAGAAGUGGAAAGAGUGGGCAUCCUUGUUUUGCUCCUGUUCUUAAGAUAAAAACUUUCAGUCUUCACCAUCAGGUAUAAUAUAAACUAAGGGUUUCUCAUAAAUAUCCUUUAUUGUGUUUAAUAAAGUUCCCUUACAAUCUAGUUUUACUAAAGGUGUGGGCUUGUGUCACAUGUUAACUAAUUUUUGUAUGCUAAACCACUCUUGCAUUCUAGGAUAAAUCUCACUGAUCAUGAUGUGUGUGUGUGUGUGUGUGUGUGUGUGUGUGUGUGUGUGUAUGUAUAUAGUUUUUGUUUGUUUGUUUGUUUGUUUGAGACAAAGUCUCACUGUCGCCCAGGUUGGAGUGCAGUGGAGCGAUCUUG
rnacentral:lncRNA from 1 species